rnacentral:rRNA from 1 species
AUUGAACGCUGGCGGCAGGCCUAACACAUGCAAGUCGAGCGGAUGAAGGGAGCUUGCUCCUGGAUUCAGCGGCGGACGGGUGAGUAAUGCCUAGGAAUCUGCCUGGUAGUGGGGGAUAACGUCCGGAAACGGGCGCUAAUACCGCAUACGUCCUGAGGGAGAAAGUGGGGGAUCUUCGGACCUCACGCUAUCAGAUGAGCCUAGGUCGGAUUAGCUAGUUGGUGGGGUAAAGGCCUACCAAGGCGACGAUCCGUAACUGGUCUGAGAGGAUGAUCAGUCACACUGGAACUGAGACACGGUCAAGACGCCUACGGGAGGGAGCAGUGGGGAAUAUUGGACAGUGGGCGAAAGCCUGAUCCAGCCAUGCCGCGUGUGUGAAGAAGGUCUUCGGAUUGUAAAGCACUUUAAGUUGGGAGGAAGGGCAGUAAGUUAAUACCUUGCUGUUUUGACGGUACCAACAGAAUAAGCACCGGCUAACUUCGUG